GCAUCGUGUGAGCUCUGUUUCCUGGUCAGACUACAUAUCCCAUGAUGCACCAUGGUCUCCCCUCAUGGUUUCCACUGGCCAAUGGAUGGUAUUGGGAGCAGGAGCAGCUACCCCAUAUGCAUGAAAGUGACACUUCUUCCGAUCAUCCUGCUGUAUCUCUGAGCUAGCCAGCAUGCCCAGAAAACCAGGUCUCUUCAGGAUAAUGCUAAAUCCUCUUCAUGCCUGAGAAUGAAGAUAUAACUUAUUGGAAACCGCUCCCACCCCACACCAAAGGGCUGCUACCAGGAAUUAUGGUCGCUACAACAGCUUUAAUACUGACUAAUGCGGUGGGAGGGCUACGAGGACAGAGGGUCCAAACCUGAAAGCUGACUGAGUCCAGGGCUGGGGAUUCUGCGAAAGCAGGAAGCUGUCUUGAGGGAGGGUGGAAUUGUGGUCGAUAGAAUUUUGCCUGGUUUCUAGGAUGCCAGCCCCUAUCGGGUGACCUGCUGAGGUGAGUCAGAGGUGGAGGUGGUACUCCGUUCCUGGACCCCAUUGUGUGGAGCUGGCCUGAGCCCUGCCAGCCCUGGGCCCCACCAAUAGAAGUCAAACUACACCUCUUUCUCCCCCCACCCCAAGUCUUUUCCCCCUGGCCAGGCCCUGGAGUUUUUAUAGCAUGUUCUGGGGGGCUCUGAAAGAAAAAGGUUGAGAACCUCUUGGCCAGGGCUUCCCCACCCUGGUCCCUGCACACCUCAGAGUAACUAAGGAGCCACUGAUGGCUCCAGGAAUGCUCACAUGUAGUAGCCCUGCUGGGAGUAGCCAGUUCUCCCCUAGGCACCCAGGGGAUGGACAUUCACAGGCUGACAUGAGCGCAGACUUUGGCCCUGUAGAAUGAUCAUUAAUGCACUGACCUCUUUUAAGCUAAGUUCUCAAAGCACUGCAAUAACCCAGACCCGCUCCCCUCCCAGAGCUGGGAACAAAACUGUGCACUCCUGAUUCCUAGUUUC
rnacentral:lncRNA from 1 species